UACGAAGGGGGCUAGCGUUGCUCGGAAUCACUGGGCGUAAAGGGUGCGUAGGCGGGUCUUUAAGUCAGGGGUGAAAUCCUGGAGCCUCAACUCCAGAACUGCCUUGAUACUGAAGAUCUUGAGUUCGGGAGAGGUGAGUGGAACUGCGAGUGUAGAGGUGAAAUUCGUAGAUAUUCGCAAGAACACCAGUGGCGAAGGCGGCUCGACUGGCC
rnacentral:rRNA from 1 species